rnacentral:tRNA from 1 species
AAAGGGAGACCUAAUUCGGGUAUAAGACGAAAAAAUAGUAGUCGAAACCAAGAAUCAAUCCCAAAAGGUCGGAACGAGGUAUGUGGCUUUCAAACUAGGUUCUGGGUUCAUAAAAGACCUGAAUCAGGAACAAGGGCUAUUAGCUCAGGUGGUUAGAGCGCACCCCUAAUAAGGGUGAGGUCCCUGGUUCGAGUCCAGGAUGGCCCACCUGCACAGGUGGCAAAAACAAGAGAAGCGAGGAAUCAGCACCUUAUCCUAAUUUAUAUAUAGGAGAGAAUGCUGGCUCUGAGUAAAGAGUCCAGAGGAACCUUGAAAACUGCAUAGAGCUAGGUGAAAAAGCCAAAAAAGAAGACCGCAAG